AUGGCGACCCUCCUGAGGCGCGCGUCGCUGCGGCGGGCCAUCGCCUCCGCCGCCUCGGCCGCCACCGCCUCCAGCCCCGAGAGCUAUAGGCAGGUGAUAUGUGGCUCUACCUUUCAUUGCCGAGAUUUCGCAUCUAAAGCCAAAAAGAAGUCAAAGUCAAGUGGCACCGACUCCGGUGAGGAGAAUAUGUCAAAGAAAGACUUGGCUUUACAUCAGGCCAUUGAUCAAAUAACAACUUCGUUCGGGGAAGGAGCAAUAAUGUGGCUUGGCCGCUCUGAAGGUCAUAGAGAAGUACCUGCUGUGUCUACCGGAUCUUUCUCUUUGGAUCUGGCACUGGGAAUUGGUGGGCUUCCAAAGGGACGUGUUAUAGAGGUGUACGGCCCAGAGGCUUCAGGAAAGACAACUCUUGCUCUUCACGUUAUUGCAGAAGCACAAAAGCUUAGCGGCGGUGGUUAUUGUGCAUUUGUAGAUGCAGAGCAUGCUUUGGAUCCAACUCUGGCAGAGUCAAUUGGUGUCGACACCGGUAACUUGCUUCUCUCUCAGCCAGACUCUGCUGAGCAAGCACUCAGUCUUGUAGACACGCUGAUUCGAAGUGGCUCUGUUGAUGUUGUUGUUGUUGACAGUGUAGCAGCUCUUGUCCCCAAGACCGAGCUUGAUGGAGAGAUGGGUGAUGCACAUGUGGCUCUCCAAGCCAGACUGAUGAGUCAAGCUCUUCGCAAACUGAGCCAUUCUCUUUCACUAUCCCAGACAGUUUUGCUAUUUAUUAAUCAGAUCAGGUCUAAGGUACAGACGUUUGGGGGAGGAUUUGGAGGGCCACAAGAGGUCACUUCCGGUGGAAAUGCCCUUAAAUUUUAUGCCUCAGUUCGCCUGAACAUCAGGCGAAUUGGCAUGGUAAAGAAAGGUGAAGAGAUUAUAGGAAGUCAGGUUACUGUGAAGAUUGUGAAAAACAAGCAUGCCCCACCGUUCAGGACUGCACAGUUUGAGCUGGAAUUUGGAAAAGGAAUAUGCCGCAGUUCAGAGCUUUUUGAUCUUGGGUUAAAGCACAAGCUUGUUAAAAAGACCGGGGGCGCGUAUUAUUCUUUCAACGAACAGCAGUUCCAUGGUAAAGAUGCCGUUAAAGCUUUCCUUACUAAAAACGAGAGCGUCGCGAAAGAACUGGAGAUGGAGCUAAGGAGAUUGAUCCAAACUGAACCGCCUAGAAAGCCGGAGGCUGAGGACUAUCUGCUGGACGAUUCGCCUGAAGAGAUUGUCAGACCUGAAACGUCAUCGGAAGAGGAUAUGGCCGCUAUAAUCGGGGCUUAA
rnacentral:rRNA from 1 species